UACAGAGGUCUCAAGCGUUGUUCGGAUUCAUUGGGCGUAAAGGGUGUGUAGGUGGCGCGCUAAGUCGGGUGUGAAAUUUCGGAGCUUAACUCCGAAACUGCAUUCGAUACUGGCGUGCUUGAGGACUGGAGAGAAGACUGGAAUUCAUGGUGUAGCAGUGAAAUGCGUAGAGAUCAUGAGGAAGACCAGUGGCGAAGGCGGGUCUCUGGACAGUUCCUGACACUGAGACACGAAGGCCAGGGGAGCAAACGGG
rnacentral:rRNA from 1 species